rnacentral:rRNA from 1 species
AGAGUUUGAUCCUGGCUCAGGACGAACGCUGGCGGCGUGCCUAAUACAUGCAAGUCGAGCGAGCGGAACCAACAGAUUUACUUCGGUAAUGACGUUGGGAAAGCGAGCGGCGGAUGGGUGAGUAACACGUGGGGAACCUGCCCCUAAGUCUGGGAUACCAUUUGGAAACAGGUGCUAAUACCGGAUAAUAAAGCAGAUCGCAUGAUCAGCUUUUGAAAGGCGGCGUAAGCUGUCGCUAAGGGAUGGCCCCGCGGUGCAUUAGCUAGUUGGUAAGGUAACGGCUUACCAAGGCGACGAUGCAUAGCCGAGUUGAGAGACUGAUCGGCCACAUUGGGACUGAGACACGGCCCAAACUCCUACGGGAGGCAGCAGUAGGGAAUCUUCCACAAUGGACGCAAGUCUGAUGGAGCAACGCCGCGUGAGUGAAGAAGGUUUUCGGAUCGUAAAGCUCUGUUGUUGGUGAAGAAGGAUAGAGGUAGUAACUGGCCUUUAUUUGACGGUAAUCAACCAGAAAGUCACGGCUAACUACGUGCCAGCAGCCGCGGUAAUACGUAGGUGGCAAGCGUUGUCCGGAUUUAUUGGGCGUAAAGCGAGCGCAGGCGGAAAAAUAAGUCUAAUGUGAAAGCCCUCGGCUUAACCGAGGAACUGCAUCGGAAACUGUUUUUCUUGA